GGGAAUACAAGUAAAGCUGAAUAGUGUAAAUGUUUACAGAUUACCUAUUAUUGUGUCACAUUUCCUUUGAUUAAUUGAAGAUUCCUCCAGUUUUAUAAGGAGUUACGUUUAAGUUUUAGAAGAAUAUUCUUAAAAAACUGUUACUGCUUAUUAUGUGUAUUUUAUUUGUAAAGACUUUUGUUUUGAAAGUGCCUUGUACUUCCGGUUUUUCCGUGAAGUUUCCGCGCAUUUCAGCAGAGACAGGAAAAAGGAAAAUGGCUGACACUCGUGCAAAGACAGAAACGGACUGAAAAUUGUUGAAAAUCCAUCAUUUGUCUGUAGCACCUGCUGGAAGACGAACAGGGGCGGAGGACUACAAACAUGGCUACUCGGGGACUUCCUGUCACACUGGACUACAAACAUGGAUACCUGGGGACUUCCUGUCACCCAGGUGCCAGACUGAUUACAAACAUUACAAAUGAGAGGAGAGUCUCUGGGAAAUGAGCUGAGCGAGGAUUCCUGACUGAGCCACACACAACGUUGCCAGCCGCAGAACUCGCACUGUUGAGGAUUUCCGAGACAUUGGAGAAGAUCACCAACCGUGUUGGUGGAAGAUGGUGGAAAUCUAUCUACUAAUGGGUGCGACCUUCACACGCUUCGUCACUGGACAGAUCCGGUAAGUCACAUUUUUUCAACCUGCGGACGGAACGUUGAUGUCCUGAGAAUCUACUUUAGACUGGAGGAGGGCGCCAAAGGGACGGUGAUUGUGUACAUAGGAACUACAUAUAAAGACUUGGGUGCAUCUGGGUGAAGGACUUGUAGAGUUUAUGUGUAAAUCGAGAGAAAGUGUAUAGUCUUGAGUCAUUUUUGUGGGUGUGUAUAAAGAGAAGAAAAACAAACUAUAACUCUUUUGUCUGUAAGACGUACAUUUAUGUCACUACUUUUUUGUUUGUGUGUAAAAAAAGUGUAUAGUCUUGAGUCAUUUUUGGAUUUUUGUGGGUAGAAGAAAAACAAACUCUAAUUCUAUAAGAUGUAGAUUUAUACCACUAUUUUUUGGUUGUGUGUAAUCCUUUGCUGUAUUGUAGAGUGUUACAACUCAGUGUGUGUCCUCAUGUUACAGAUCUUCUAUCCCUAGACUUUUGUGGACGUAGCAUAAUUAGGGGCUGGUCCGGGAUAUAUUUUAUCUGCGACAGUUUGUGUUUUGUACCAGCUGGUCAUACUCAUGAAAUGGUCGUGCUGUACCGGUCACACAAAAUAUCACAGACCUGCAGAGAGAAAAUAUUCGUUUUCUACAGACUUGCUGUGAGAGUCCACUCAUAUAAACACGAAUACAGCCUCCAAAUCAUGCAGACUUGGUGAGGAUCUCGUUAGUGCGGUCCAUGUGGUCGUCCUUUCAUGUAGCCUCACACCGAAUAUAUUAUUAGCAGACUUUCUUCCUUUGACUGUCCGACGGCCGGGACAACCCAAAACCCAGCAGAACCCGUACGACUCCCUUAUGGGUGCUAACGUCUCCUCAUGGUCUCCCUGUAGGAGCUAAGAUGGACGGCUAAGUCUGUUUUUGUGUGUUUUUCUCCACAUUAAACGGAGGUGUUCUCCAUGACUGUU